AAAUAUACUAACUAGUAACUACAUGUUGCUUUGUCAAUUCCCAGCAGAAAUUCAUCAUAAAUAUCAGGUCAUUAACAAAUUUCCUAUUUUUAAAGAUAAAAUCAUAUACCUGAGACCAAUUUUUUCUAAAGAAAAGAAUGUUGUAGUAAAUAAAACGAAAAUCCAAAGUUAGUUUAAUUAUUAGUUCAAUUAUCUGAGACCAGAAAAGAACAAUGCUAGACUCAACCUCAUUCAACAAUUAUUCCAGCUUCAUUACAAUGGCUAUCUAUUUUUUCUCCCUUCCUUUAAUUUUUCUUUUUUAGAUCUUGUUGAGAAACAAAUACAGAAUCAAAUACAAAACACUGAGGUAGUUUCUUUUCUGCUCCAUUUUAAGAAAAAAAUUUGCACAAGAAACUUAAUUGACAAUUGCUAUUCAAUUGACUAGAUGGCCAAAAAAUCUAAGCAUUUGGAAGUUUUUCCAUUUUAACUGACCCUUUCAAUUUUUUAGCCUAAUGGUAAUGAUUUUGGCCAAUUUAA
rnacentral:misc_RNA from 1 species